rnacentral:rRNA from 1 species
UACGUAGGGUGCAAGCGUUGUCCGGAAUUAUUGGGCGUAAAGAGCUCGUAGGCGGUGUGUCGCGUCGGCCGUGAAAACCUGCAGCUUAACUGUGGGCUUGCGGUCGAUACGGGCAUCACUGGAGUUCGGCAGGGGAGACUGGAAUUCCUGGUGUAGCGGUGAAAUGCGCAGAUAUCAGGAGGAACACCGGGUGGCGAAGGCGGGUCUCUGGGCCGAUACUGACGCUGAGGAGCGAAAGCGUGGGGAGCGAACAGG